rnacentral:rRNA from 1 species
AUUGAACGCUGGCGGCAGGCCUAACACAUGCAAGUCGAGCGGCAGCACGGUGAUUGCUUCUGGUUUCAGCGGCCGACGGGCGAGCGAUUCCUAGGUACAUCCGUGUCUGCGGGUGCUAAGGUCAGGACAUGGGCGAUCUUACCGUAUUAGCGCUGACGGACUACGUGGGGGAUCAUGGGAUCUUACGCUCUUAGAUGAGUGUAGGUCGGAUUAGCUAGUUGGCGGGGUAAAGGCCUACCAAGGCGACGAUCCGUAGCUGGUCUGAGAGGAUGAUCAGUCACACUGGAACUGAGACACGGUCCAGACUCCUACGGGAGGCAGCAGUGGGGAAUAUUGGACAAUGGGCGAAAGCCUGAUCCAGCCAUGCCGCGUGUGUGAAGAAGGUCUUCGGAUUGUAAAGCACUUUUGUUGGGAAAGAAAAGCAGUAGGUUAAUACCUUGCUGUUUUGACGGUACCAACAGAAUAAGCACCGGCUAACUUCGUG